rnacentral:rRNA from 1 species
UUAAAUCGACCGCCUGGGGAGUACGGCCGCAAGGUUAAAACUCAAAUGAAUUGACGGGGGCCCGCACAAGCGGUGGAGCAUGUGGUUUAAUUCGAUGCAACGCGAAGAACCUUACCUGGUCUUGACAUCCACAGAACUUUCCAGAGAUGGAUUGGUGCCUUCGGGAACUGUGAGACAGGUGCUGCAUGGCUGUCGUCAGCUCGUGUUGUGAAAUGUUGGGUUAAGUCCCGCAACGAGCGCAACCCUUAUCCUUUGUUGCCAGCGGUUAGGCCGGGAACUCAAAGGAGACUGCCAGUGAUAAACUGGAGGAAGGUGGGGAUGACGUCAAGUCAUCAUGGCCCUUACGACCAGGGCUACACACGUGCUACAAUGGCAUAUACAAAGAGAAGCGACCUCGCGAGAGCAAGCGGACCUCAUAAAGUAUGUCGUAGUCCGGAUUGGAGUCUGCAACUCGACUCCAUGAAGUCGGAAUCGCUAGUAAUCGUAGAUCAGAAUGCUACGGUGAAUACGUUCCCGGGCCUUGUACACACCGCCCGUCACACCAUGGGAGUGGGUUGCAAAAGAAGUAGGUAGCUUAACCUUCGGGAGGGCGCUUACCACUUUGUGAUUCAUGACUGGGGUGAAGUCGUAACAAGGUAACCGUAGGGGAACCUGCGGUUGGAUCACCUCCUUA